rnacentral:rRNA from 1 species
ACUCCUACGGGAGGCAGCAGUGGGGAAUAUUGCACAAUGGGCGGAAGCCUGAUGCAGCGACGCCGCGUGGGGGAUGAAGGCCUUCGGGUUGUAAACUCCUUUCGACAGGGACGAAGCUUUUGUGACGGUACCUGUAUAAGAAGCACCGGCUAACUACGUGCCAGCAGCCGCGGUAAUACGUAGGGUGCGAGCGUUGUCCGGAAUUACUGGGCGUAAAGAGCUCGUAGGUGGUUUGUCGCGUCGUCUGUGAAAUUCCGGGGCUUAACUCCGGGCGUGCAGGCGAUACGGGCUGACUUGAGUGCUGUAGGGGAGACUGGAAUUCCUGGUGUAGCGGUGAAAUGCGCAGAUAUCAGGAGGAACACCGAUGGCGAAGGCAGGUCUCUGGGCAGUAACUGACGCUGAGGAGCGAAAGCAUGGGGUAGCGACAGGAUUAGAUACCCUGGUAGACAUCA